rnacentral:rRNA from 1 species
CGCCUUGCCAGCCCGACUCAGAACUUAAAUGAAUUGACGGGGGCCCGCACAAGCGGUGGAGCAUGUGGUUUAAUUCGAUGAUACGCGAGGAACCUUACCUGGGCUCAAAUGUAUGUUGACGUAUUCUGAAAGGGAUACUUCUUCGGACAAUAUACAAGGUGCUGCAUGGUUGUCGUCAGCUCGUGCCGUGAGGUGUCGGGUUAAGUCCCAUAACGAGCGCAACCCCUAUCAUUAGUUGCCAUCAGGUCAAGCUGGGGACUCUAAUGAAACUGCCUACGCAAGUAGUGAGGAAGGUGGGGAUGACGUCAAAUCAGCACGGCCCUUACGUCCAGGGCUACACACGUGCUACAAUGGCCGGUACAACGGGCAGCGAAGGAGCGAUCCGGAGCGAAUCCUAAAAAGCCGGUCCCAGUUCGGAUUGCAGGCUGAAACUCGCCUACAUGAAGUUGGAGUUGCUAGUAAUCGCGAAUCAGAAUGUCGCGGUGAAUGCGUUCCCGGGUCUU